rnacentral:lncRNA from 1 species
GGAGUAAGGCUGAACGUUGACACCCCACUGGGUGGGGUCCAAAUGGAAAGUGUGUAAAGCUCUCGACCGGCAGAGAUUCUCGAUCUCGUCGAUGAAUUCGUUGCCUCCGUAGUAACGGUUGCCGGGCAUUCCCUCUGAGUAUUUGUUGGUGAGGGCGCUGCCGAGGGCUUCGAUAACGGCGAAGGAGGUGAAGUUCUCGGAGGCGAUGAGCUCGAUGCCGCGGCAUUGUCGGCGCUUCUCUUUCUCGAUCAGGUCGUGAAUUUCUGGGUCCACGGUUUCAAGAGAUGAGUUGCCCCACUCGUUCACUGGAUCCAUUUUUUCUUUUUUUCCGUUUUC